rnacentral:SRP_RNA from 1 species
GCUGGGCUUGGUGGUGCAUGCCUGUAGUCCCAGCUCCUCAGGAGGCUGAGGUGGGAGGAUCGCUUGAGCCUGGGAGGUGGAGGUUGCAGUGAGCCAUGAUUACACCACUGCACUCCAGCCUGGGCAACAGAGUGAGACCCUAUCUCAA